AUGCAGAUCAGAUCAUGAACCUUUUUCUUAGGGUUUUUGCAUGUAGAAAUGCUACGGUGCAUGAGGAAGCCAUGCUUGCCAUUGGAGCCCUAGCCUAUGCAACUGGUCCCGACUUUGCCAAGUACAUGCCUGAAUUUUACAAGUACCUGGAAAUGGGCCUUCAGAAUUUCGAGGAGUACCAAGUGUGUGCUGUUACGGUUGGUGUUGUUGGUGAUGUAUGCAGAGCUUUGGAAGAUAAGAUCCUACCUUACUGUGAUGGUAUAAUGACCCAGCUUCUCAAGGACCUGUCAAGUAACCAGCUGCAUCGAUCUGUAAAGCCUCCAAUAU
rnacentral:lncRNA from 1 species